GAGCCCGCGUCCCAUUAGCUAGUUGGUGAGGUAACGGCUCACCAAGGCGUCGAUCGGUAGCCGGCCUGAGAGGGUGAUCGGCCACACUGGAACUGAGACACGGUCCAGACCGCUACGGUGGGCAGCAGUACGGAAUAUUGCGCAAUGGGCGAAAGCCUGACGCGGCAACGCCGCGUGAAGGAUGAAGGCCUUCGGGUUGUAAACUUCUGUCAGGAGGGACGAUGGGACAUUUAUGUCUUGACGGUACCUCCAGAGGAAGCCCCGGCUAACUCCGUGCCAGCAGCCGCGGUAAUACGGAGGGGGCAAGCGUUGCUCGGAAUUACUGGGCGUAAAGGGUCCGCAGGCUGUCAGGCAAGUUGGUUGUGAAAGCUCAAGGCUUAACCUUGGAAUUGCAUCCAAAACUGCCUGACUAGAGUCCAAGAGAGGUUGGCGGAAUUCCCGGUGUAGCGGUGAAAUGCAUAGAUAUCGGGAGGAACACCAGAGGCGAAGGCGGCCAACUGGCUUGGAACUGACGCUCAGGGACGAAAGCGUGGGUAGCAAACCGGAUUAGAUACCCGGGUAGUCCACGCCCUAAACGAUGGAUGCUAGGUGCCGGAG
rnacentral:rRNA from 1 species